rnacentral:lncRNA from 1 species
GUUGGGAGUGUGCCCCUAGCUAUCUGUAAAUAAAAAACUGUGCAGUCUGGGUUGCUUAAUAAUUGUAAUUUUUUAAUUAUUCAUACUUUUACUUUUGAUACUUAAGUAUAUUUCAAACCGAAUACUUUUAGACUUUUACUCAAGUAGUAAUUUACUGGGUGACUUUGACUUGAGUCAUUUUCUAUUAAGGUAUCUUUACUUUUACUCAAGUAUGACAAUUGGGUACUUUUUCCACCACUGAUAGAUACACACAGCAGAUGAACAGCUCCUGUGUUUUUAUUUUUAAUAGAAAAACAAAAAGUACUGAAAAUCAAAUGAAAAAGGAACGAUCCAGUAAUGAUGACAGAAGAACGUUCAGGGCUUUGUCUCCCAGGCAACCACACCUCUUUUCCUUUAAAUCUCACUUCUCACUUCCAUGAAAAGGCGGUGUGUGGGUGUGUGUGUGUCAACAGAGGGUGACUCCACGCUGCCAGUAAGCAUCAAUACUGCUGAGUUGAAGAGAAGUGGAGGCUGGGCUACCAAUGCAGAGGAAAGAGUAAUAAACACAACAAGUGAACAUGAAGAAGUCCAGCAGCAGAAACCCACAGCUGCUGGUUCCAACAUUCACCCAAAACCCUCAACAUCACAGCCUAUUAACAUACUUACAUAACACGCGGCUAAAGAACGACAGGAAUACAAUGGCAUAUGUGUGUGUAUGAGUCUAUCUGCAUUUGUCUGUGUGUAUCUGAAAGUAUGAGUGUGCACUUCUGUGUCUGCAUCUAUGAAUAUGAAGUGGAGUGUGUUUCACAUAGCCAGGGUCUGGUAUAUUAGCGUUGAGGGUAUAUUUAAGAGGACAGGUGUAGUGACACAGGAACUCUGACCUAUAGAGCUGUAGCCUGCAGGAGGUGAUGCACUAUGAUAGAAGCCAAAUAAUAAUAAUUUAAAAAAAAAAACAUUAAAAUAAACCAAAAAUAAUGAACUGGAUCAACAUAAUAAAAAAGUCCUUCAAAAAGGCAGGAGUUCAGAAUUUCAAAAUAAGCCACUCACUGACUCUUCUUUCUCUUAUUAAAAUAUCUAGAUUUUUCUUUCCCUCCCUCCCUCCCUCCCCCUACCCCUUCCCUCUCUCGGAUCCUCUCUGGCCCACUGCAGCAGCGAGCCUCUGUGAUGGGGGUUAUGGAAGUACCACCCCCUCCCCAGCACCCCUCUUUCUCUAUCCACAUCUCUGCUCCUCACAGGCAAAGCACAGUAGUCAGGGCCAUGGAGGGUGGAAGCCAGGAGGGUGUCUCCCAGACUGCCGUAAGGCUCAUUCUUCCUCUGUCCGUCCUCCUUCUCCAUGUUGUAGUGAUGAGGGGGUGGUAUACACAAAGCUGGACCAGGGACCACAGUACAGUUCACUGGGGUGGUAGUUGGGAUAGAGGGGAGGGUCUCUCCAUAGUCCUGCAGGGCAGUGAGUCCACAUGUCCGUUUGUCUGUCUCCAUGUGCAUCUCUCCAUAGUCCUGCAGGGUAGUGAGUCCACAUGUCUGUCUGUAUGUCUCCUCGUUCGUCUCUCCCUCCAGUAAUCCACUCAGGGGCCCAAUGGGACGACAGCCAAGAGGGGGGCAACAGUCUUUGAGAAUAGCUAUCCAUCGCUCUUUCACACACCAAAAACCUACAUGCUCACACAGACACAUACAGAAUCACAUACAAAGGCAGUGGAACAUACACACACUGAUUCAGACGAACAUGCACUCGCACACACUCUGGGAGGCUCUCUGUAGGGGGUUGAGUCAGGCCUUGUUUGCUAUGUCCCAUCCUCUGCCUCUUCUUCCUCUGAACAGUAGUCCAGUCCCUGUGGGCACACCACAGAUGAGACAGAAGAGAGUGAUGAGGCAGGACAGAUAGCAUCGCCGUAGGAUAAAUGGAGACGUUAGAUAAGACAAGGGUCCUGCUGGCUGGUCCCUCCCGCUCUACCCCCCCUCACCUUCUCAAUCUUCUCAUCCAACAUCCUGAAGAACUCCUGCUGGCUCUCUGAUGUGUGGAUACUGUGAAAGAAAGGGAGAGAGUGAGAACGAGGGAGGGAGGGAGAGAAAGUGAGAACGAGGGAGGGAGAAAGAAAAGGAAGGAGGAAGUUAGAGGGGGAGGAAACGGGAGGCAACAAACACACCACUAGAAUUUUCCAUUACACCCCCCACACAGGACACACACACACAGUUCUAAACCCCAGCUUCGGCAAGAGCCUUCGUGGUUGUGGAGGAAUUUGAAUAAUCAUUUUAUGGAGUACUCCCAACAAAGGUCUAUAAUCCAAAUGCAAACUAAAUACAGCUCCAGCACCCAUGCUAAUCCACUCACAAUGUCACCAAACAGAAACAGAGCCACAAUACAUGUCUGGAAACAAAAGACACUAGCCACUCAGCUCCCAGCUCCACUACAGCGAUAACACACUGAUUUAGUCACACUGCCUGAUACCAUUUAUGAAUACAUAUAAAAAGCGCAGCAGUGAUUGUUAAGUAACACCAAUGACUAGCUGGUAACAUCAAUACCACAUUUCAUUAUUACUCACUUUGUCCUGUUGGCGUUGGCUCCAGAGCCUUCUUUGUGCGGUUUCCCCCUGUACUGUAAAGAGGUCUUCUCCUGAAACACACAGAUCAGCUCAUAGUUCUGACCCCCGACACUAUACACAGAGCCCCCCGAACCCCAAUCUGCCCAUGUAGCAGGCCUGGGGGGAGAACAUCUCCCUGCCCUACCAGCCAGGGCCCUAAGGUUGGAAACAUCCGUCCCCUGCUGUGUUGUGUGUCCUUAUGGUUAAGGGGACUGACAGGUCUGUGGCGGGAGGUAAGAGUUACCAGGCCCAGCUGUGGCCCUAAGGCUGGGAAGAGACAGGCUGCCUACCCCUGCUGCUGGAGCCUUGGUGCUGGGAAGAGACAGGCUGCCUACCCCUGCUGCUGGAGCC